rnacentral:lncRNA from 1 species
CAUUUUUACUACCCCUUGAGAGUGCAUCAUUAUACUCUUCCAAGGUGCUAUAACUCCUAAAUUUGGAGCUGUCAAAUUGCAUGCCCUUCAAGACAUCUUUGACAAAGGAACCUUUUUGGUACCCUACAUAUUCUCCAUUCUUGAUGAGAUCAUUGAGGUCUGUUACAGUAGGUUGAAGCUUUUGUGCUGUUAACAUAGAUGUUAAGCUGGCUGUAUAACUUGAUGUCAGCACCAGAACCACGAAAACCCACACAAUCAGCACAAAUCUUGUUAAGUUACUUGUUACCCUCUCUCCUGCAAUAACCAGCCAUAUAUGAUUUGUUGAGAAAUUCUAAAGUUCUCGUCUAUAAUUUGCUUUGAGUUAGAGACUUACUAUGAGCAAAAACGAGAGUUGAGAAGGAAAACCAUAAUAUCAUCCCAACUUGCUUGCAUUUGGGUCCUCGAAACUCUUCGUUUACACGAUGCUCCAGUACCCACACAACAAAACCAAUGAAAACAAAGAAUGCUCCAGUUGUCAUCCAAAGCUCUCUCUUUAGAGGUUUCACGAAAAUCCAAGCACUCUUCCUGUCAUCAUCCUUUAUUGGCACAACUGCAGAAAUACCCGACUCUAUAAAAGGUAAUGUGAAAUCCACAUACUUGGAUCGGUUCGCUGAAAUGGUCACAUCACCUAUAACUGCAUCAUGUUUCUGGUUUAAGUAAACAAUGGUUGGUUCAGUGCUUUUGCCAAAGAAAAAGCAAAAUAAGAAAAUCCAAAUGGAGCAUGUGGGUAAGGUAUUCCGCCAAAGAGGGUAAUUCAAACAAGGAUUAGAUAUUACCUUAAAAAAGAGCUUAUAAGCAAGAUCAUCAUAUCCUGGAGAAUUGGGGCUACGUGUUAUUGGAACUGGAACAAAUUCGUAAGGGACAGCAUAAGGCAAAGAUUGGAUGACUUCUUUGAAGACAUCUGCACAGAAACCAGUUGCAGUAACUGCUUGUGUUUUUGAAUCUCUUUCCACUUAAAUGAAUUCCUGCAGCCCUCCUUUGAUAGGAACUCCAACCCUUAGCUUCUUCCCACUUGUGGGUAUUUCCCAGCCUCUCGGAGAAAUAGUAGAUUCACCGGGCCAAAUGAUGGCUCCUAGUUGCUUAUUAUUACUCUUAGCUGUUUUACCGUCUAUCUUCAGUUUAUAUGAAAUUCCAUCCUUCUCUGUCCAGAAUCCAAUGCUUCUCUGUCCUGUCCCAACUAUAUUCACAAUUUGAUAUGGAGAUGGAUGCAAUUCUCCAUUGAUGAGACGGAAUUCACCACUUAGUGCUGUUUUUAGCACUGUGUUUUGCAUAGAGUCAAGGAGCAGAGAUCCCAAUUCUGAGGUUCCAAGUGCAUCUAGGUCCGUUAAGUUCUCUCUAGUGUCCGGUUUCUUGAAUUUUGGGAUAGCAGUGCUGCCCAUUUCCACUACUGCUUUUGCUAACGCGGUGAUGCUAUCAUAUGCCCAUAGCCCAAAAACAUUGAGUUCAACUGGAUCCAUGUCUGGAUACACUUGACGAAAUCUCUUUCUCCAUCUCUUGGUGAACAUGUCAAGCUCAUUUGAUCUUGGAACAUAAGAUUUUACACCCAGAACACCUUGCAUUGAUGACUCAAUUACUGAAGGAUCUACCAGGUCCAGAAGACUUGUUAGCACAUCUGUGAUUAUCCAUGCAUAUCCACUGCUCAUCAUCCCGGCUUCUUUGGCCUUGAGGAAAAGGCGGGAGGCAAGAGAUGAUUCUAAGUGUACGAUGAACACCCUGGUCUGCAUUGUAUUCAACUUGUAUAGCUCCCUGAAGAUCUGAUCAUCACUGGCUGAAGGAGAAAUACCACUUCUAUAGGAGACUAAACUGUUGUUUUCCAGCAAGGCAUCUGUCAAAUGUGGAAGCAUCCCGCUUCCAUAGGGGCUAUCCUCAUAGAUUACUACAACGUCCCUCCAAUUAUAGUUUUUAACAAUUGCCGCUAUGGCUUUAGUCUGGCUGGAAGAAGGAAGUGCUCCUCUGAUGAAGAAGGGAUUUUCCUUGACUGAAAGUGAAGGACUAGUUGCUGGAGAAAUGAUAGGGACUUUUACUCGGUUCCCUAAGUCAAUCACAAAAUCAGUUUGUGUAGACAUUUGUGGCCCAACGAUGGCUUGUACUUGAACAUCCUUUAGCAAGUAUAUGGCUGCACAUACACAAUCAGACUAUAAGGAAUUGUCUGAACAGAAAACCAAAGGGAAAAAAGAAGAAAAGAGAAAAAGAUAUGCUAGCUUAACAGAAGUAAAUCAUGGAGCUGAAUUAAUUUACCUGCAGAUGCUGCUUCAACAUCAUCUUUCUUGGAAUCCCUCAAGUGAGGGACUAUCCUAAUAGCUCUGGGACUAGUGGUGGCAUGGUAAUCUUCAAGAGCUAGUAAGAUAGAUAUGUGCAUUACUUUUGCCACAACUGUUUCCAUAUAAGAACUAUACCCACAUCCACCUUUACAACACUAGUUUCAUCUUCACCUCUUAUUGGAAUUACAUAGUGGCAAAAGCUAAUAAUGGAGACAAGUUGAAUGAAGAGAAUUAGGCAGUAGUAUCUUUGAUUUUGCAUUUGAAAAACUCUGGUAGCAAGUAGUUUGAGAGUUGGGAAAGAAGCAAUUCUGCUUGUGCAAGUAAUUAACCACUUUCUAGAGAUGUGUCUAAAAAUCUCUUAACUGUGUGGCUCUAGAUAUAUGGUUUCAGAAUCUGGGAACUUCAUAUACUUGGACCAGUAAAUACCUUGCAAAACUAUAAUAAGGCAAUGUAGAAUGAAAAGUCAAAGAUAAAGUUUCCAAAGAAUAAUUGAGAGAGGACUUUUCAUACAUUCUUAACUAGUAAGUUCCCUCCUCAAUUUGACCCAAUAAAAAUCUGACAAAACGAACGCAGUGACAAAAACUCAUUUGGUUGACCUUGGAAUGGUGCUUAUUUUACAUGGUUCCUGUUUAUACUUGGUCAUUAGUAACUUGCUUGGACACCAAAUAAUGAAACAAUACCCACCAUUGGAUCGAGUGGCCGAUCUAGGAUUUUCAUUCAUGGGGAUUUGUAAAUAAAAAUGUAAAAAGUAUUAACUUCCUUGGACACUCAAUAAUGAAACAACCACCACCAUUGGCUCUAGUGGCAUGCUGAUUCAGGAUUUUCACUCUGAGAGUUCCGAAAAAUAAAAAUGUAAAAGAUAAUGCAGUCCUUGAGAAUUGAACCUUGGACAUUGGGGUGUAUUUUGAAUUUCCUGAAUUGCAGAGCUAACCUUUUGCAUGUUAUUUAGGGGAUUCACAAUUUAUAUGUACAUCAACAUAGAAAAUAUAUCCUAUAUAUACAUUUUAAUUUUUUGUUGAAGGGGUUUGGGUGAACACUCUCCGGCUCUUGAUUGGCUCAUUGACACUGUUAUUGUUAGUGCAAGAAGAAACUGCUAGGGAAGUUGCCUAUGAUAUAUGUUGAAGCAGAUGGGAUAUAAGAUUCUGAUUUGAUGGGUUCAAUAUUUAGGUUCUUACCAUUGAGCCCAUUACACUUUGAAAUUAUGGGUUCAUGUUCUAUUAUUUAUUAAAAUUUUAGUGAUUUUUCACAUUAUACUUUUAUGAUCCGUGUCGAAAAUGCAAAUCUUAUACUUAAAUUCGCCAUCCGCCCUGUGUGACUGAACAUAUUACUGUUUGUCUUCCAUGUAGCAGUGAUCCUAAAACCUUUCCUUAUUUAUGAUCUGUAACUAUGUUCUUAUCCUCUAGGCUAGUUCUAGCACCUGCAUUAUAAAUUCACUACUACUAGAUCUUUCUUUCUUAUUUAAUUUGGGCUUUGCAGAUUGCUUUUUCUUAUCAAAAAAUUGCACAAAUCUCUCAUGUGGUUAUUCACAUAUAACCCCCAUUAUUUCAUAUUUUAUAUAAGAAUUAUGUAAUCAAAAAAUAAUUUGGCAUCUUAUGUGUUGAUUUUAUUGUUUUUGUUCUAUUAUUGUAACAUAACAAAACUACCUCAAUUGAAUUUCUUGAAAACGGAUGCAUGUAUUGAAUUCUUUCAUGCCACACAUAUAACUUCGUUUAAUUAUAUUCCAAACAUAAGUACAACAACAACAACAUAAGUAGUGAUGAAAAAAACAAAGUGAACAUAAAAUUGCUAGAAAAACAACUAAGAAAAAGUAAGGGUUGAAUCCAUCUAAUGGAAUCCUGGAGGCCACCUCUUGAUGCUAAUAUUAUGGCCAAGAGUGACAAAGAAAUAAUGUAAUCUGAUUUAACUAACCCUAAAGCUAGCUCAUCUCUGUACAAUCUCUUGUAGGGCCCUAUUCAGGUGUGUCACAAUUAUGUUAGCAGCUAUCUGUGUCAUCUUUCUUCAAUCGUGCCUGACAUUGUUUCAUGAACUGGGGUUCCAGUUUCUGUUGUAGAGAACCCUUCAGAAGCAGGGGAUUCUCCUAGGCCAUCGGAGAUUCCGAUUUCUGGGCUUUGCAAAGGAAGGUUGGGCGAUAAUUCAAUAGAAGCAUCACUUUCUGCAAACACUGUAGCCGUUAGGCUUUCAUUCCCUUCAGAUGGCUUUUUUGACAUAGAAUUAGAGUCGUCUCUCUUUAAAUCAAAGACUUUUUGCUAUUGCACAAAGCUUUUUUCCUAUUGAAUCAUCAGUGGCUAAGAUUUCUCUAUUCUGAUAAAGGAAGAUGACGAAGAAUACGAGAAGAGCGGAGCCUGCUGAUACACCAGCUAUGAGGAAAAGGCCCUUAAAACUAUCAAGCGUGAGGCUAGAUGCUGUAGCCAUUCCAUCUGGCUUUGGACAAUCUGUUUCGUUCCCAAACCAUUUCUGAAUUAUGUUAUUCAUAGUCUCUCCCUCUAUCACCUUCAAGACUGCUCUUGAGACGUCAGGUACCAAAGGAGAUCCUUUUGGAAAUGCCUGCAACAAGUUGUGGGAAAAUUAAAGAUUAGAUCAUUGAGUAAACCACUAACCACUCUAAAUAAAUGUCAACACUUUCUGAAACAUCAGUUAAGUACAACAAUCUUACAAAUCCAAAGCCGGCAGCCUUGUAUGUCGGACCAACCAUAAUAUACUUCCUGCAGUAUUUGUUCAGCAAGAGUCUGAGAUAAGGUAGUUCAUCAACAAUUGCACCAACACCUCCAUUUUUACUACCUCUUGAGAGUGCAUCAUUAUACUCUUCCAAUGUGCUAUAACUCCUAAAUUUGGAGCUGUCAAAUUUCAUGCGUGUCAAGACAUCUUUGACAAAGGAACCUUUUUGGUACCCUACAUAUUCUCCAUUCUUGAUGAGAUCAUUGAGGUCUGUUAUAGUAGGUUGAAGCUGUUGCACUGUUAACAUAGAUGUUAAGCUGGCUGUAUAGCUUGAUGUCAGCACCAGAACCACGAAAACCCACACAAUCAGCACAAAUCUUGAUAAGUUACUUGUUAUCUUCUCUUCUG